rnacentral:misc_RNA from 1 species
AAAAGUUAAAAAAAAAAAGAGGGAAAAUUAAGCUAUCAAGUCUUGAAGCAAUGGGCAUCCUCAAGACUCUACUCUUGGUCAUUCUUCCUCUAGUGUUUAUCUCCUAUAUUGUUCAAUCUGAUCAAAUGGUCAUCGAAGAAGUUGUGGAUGCUUCCCUCCCACAACAAAUGGGUAUAGUGACCUUGAUCUGCUUCUCCAAUAGUCUAUGCAUGUGUAUGCUAUAGUUAGUUUUGUUUAUUCUUUGUGGUGUUAGAUUGCGAUGGAGCUUGUGCUGCGAGGUGCCAAUUGUCAUCGAGGCCACACCUGUGCAAAAGAGCAUGUGGUACGUGUUGUGCCCGUUGCAACUGCGUUCCUCCGGGAACUUCCGGUAACUAUGAUGCAUGUCCCUGCUACGCCAACAUGACAACCCACGGUGGCAGACACAAGUGUCCCUAAUUCACAGCUUUUGCUCCUCUACGUAAUCAAUCAAGAAGAAGAUAAUAAAAUCGUGGAAAUAAAUGUUAAAAUUUUCUAUUGUUCAAACUACUGAUCAUGUGGGUGUAAGUUAUUAUAUAUUGAUAUUUCUUGUGUUUUCCUUUUUAUUGUUUUUAAACAUAAAAAGUAGUUCAUCAUUAAAAUAUUAUUUAAUAUUGAAUUUCA